UUCAAGGUUUAGCCUGCUCCAUGACUAAGUUAAAUAGCCGCAGUAUAUUGACUGUGCAAAGGUAGCAUAAUCAUUAGUUUCUUAAUUAGAAGCUGGAAUGAAGGGCUGGAUGAGGAAAUAGCUGUCUCGCUUUAAUUUUCAUUGAAUUUUAUUUUUAAGUCAAAAAGCUUAAAUUAAAUAAAAAGACGAGAAGACCCUAUAGAGUUUGAUAAAUAUAAGUUUUAAUUGUUUAAAGUUUUGACUGUAGUUAUUAUUUAGUUUAUUUGGUUGGGGUGACAUAAGAAUUUAAUAAACUUCUUUUUUCUAACACAUUAGUUUAUGAGUGGUUGAUCCUGAGAUUUGGAUUAUAAGAAUAAAUUACCUUAGGGAUAACAGCGUAAUCCUUUUAGAGAGCCCGAAUCAAUAAAAGGGAUUGCGACCUCGAUGUUGGAUUAAAGUUAAGUUCAGGUGCAGAAGCUUGAAUUUUGAGUCUGUUCGACUCUUGAAACUUUACA
rnacentral:rRNA from 1 species